UCCUGUGUUUGGAAAGAGUUCCAGCUUCAUCACGGAGUUUCUCUCGGUUUGUGGGCUCAUCUAAAGGAAAACUCCUUACAUUUCUUGGUCCUCCGAGCCGGAUCAAUUUAACACUUUUGUGUGAUCCUACGGGAAAACCUCAUCGAGUCCUGACGUCGUGAGAAGCCCGCGCUGAAGUCUGUCGACAGCUCCUGUCUAGGUACAGGACAAAAGACCAGAGACGUGAAUUCGGGUUCUGGCCAGCGUUUUUAGAAGUGGUGCACGACGGUGGGGGACGGUGGGGGUCGAUGAGGCGGACCUGAGAGACCGGCAGUGAAUCAGCAACCAGUAUCUUGCAGGUUGAAGGCAGGUGAUUGGAUCCUGAUAAGGGUGCUCCAGAGGAAAAAUGGGAGCUCACCCCGUUGGGAAGGACCCUACCAAGUACUCCUGACCACACCAACAGCCUGCAAAAUAGCAGAAAGACCGUCCUGGAUUCAUCAAAGCCACUGCAAAAAAGGGAGUGACAACCUAGACGUUUAGACGCCGACACCCCUAACUCCUGGUGAUCUACUUCUCGCCGGUAGUCUA